rnacentral:lncRNA from 1 species
CUAAAAAGCUAGGUUUUAGAAGUUGAUAAGCUAACUUACUAAAGGAAGUGUGUGGUAAAAUUAGUUGAUCAACUAGCCUAUACAUGAAAAUGAUGUAAUUGGAGUAUCAGGAAAAAAGUUAUGCAGUCCCUAGCUUAUAAGCAACAUUUACUAGCUUGUCAAAUGAGAGCUUUUAAGGUACUUGUUUUUUUAUAUAAGAAAAUCACCCUUACCAAACAGCUCUGGUACCUCACUUUUGGUAUAUUAAAAAAAGACAGUUCACUAUCUUAUAAUUUACCCAAGUGUCUUGCAAAACAUAUAACAUGGAUAUUACUUGCAUGACAUUUUUAAUGUUUCUAAGUGACAUUAAGCAGAAUGAUUGUUGCUUAGUGUCCUUAUCGUCUUUUCAGGCUUCUUACUCCUCCUGGGACUCCUCUAUUUCCUUCAUUGGAGAUGGAAACUCAAAAAACUGUUAUGAGUGAGCUUGGUGCUCCAACUGCAAGACCCACGACAUUAAAAUCUAGAUUGGCAAAUCCUCAGUCAGUGCCCAUUGGAAGGAACAACUUAGUAUCUAAACAACCAGCUUCCUCCUUUGGGUUUAGCUCUUCAAGUAGUGGAAAUAGGAGGGCCUCAUCUUCAACGAAUCCAGGAUCAAGACCUGCAACUACUACUGGACGCUCUACUUUAAGCACAGCUUCAAAAUCAUUGAGACCUUCAACACCUACUUCUCGGGAUACUUCACCUUCAACUAGGACCAUUGUACCUACUACCAAGACCACAGUUUCCACAACUAAGCCCAUAGUUUCUGCUUCUAAGACUAUGGUGUCUGCUGCUAAGACUACAGUCUCUGGUACUAAACCCACAAUUCCAUCUCAAUCCUCUACACCUUUGUCAAGAUCUUCAAUACCAACUAGCAGGCCUACUUUACCUCAAUCCAGACCCACAUCAAGGGCAUCAACCCCGACUCGACGACCAUCUACGCCAUCAAGUGCACCCAGUAUAUCUGCUCAUUUACUUAGGACUUCUUCAAUCUCUAAGCCAGCUCCCGUUACCUCAAGGCAGCCGGUACCAUCACAUGGAACAUCACCUACAGUGAGAUCAAGACCAUGGAAGCCAUCCGAGAUGCCUGGAUUUUCACUUGAUGCUCCGCCCAAUUUGAGGACAACACUACCAGAUAGGCCACUCUCAGCUACUAGGGGAAGGCCGGGAGCACCCAAUUCUCGGUCUUCAUCUGUUGAGCCUGCUUCUACUGGCAGACCAAAGCGGCAAUCAUGCUCUCCUUCUAGAGGUCGGUCCUCCAAUGGCAUUUCUCAUACAUCUGGAAGCUCCAUGCCUGCAGUUAGUCAUGGGUACUCCAAAUUGAAUGACAAUGUCAGUCCUAUUGUGAUCGGCACCAAAAUGGUUGAGAGGGUAAUAAAUAUGCGGAAACUAGCACCACCCAGGCUAGAUGACAAAAAUUCUCCCCACGGUAAUCUAUCUGGCAAGUCAUCUUCCCCUGAAAGCUCUGGUUUUGGAAGAACACUCUCGAAGAAAUCAUUGGAUAUGGCUAUUAGGCAUAUGGAUAUAAGGCGAAGGGUUCCGGGCAAUUUACGGCCAUUAAUGACAAACAUUCCAGCAUCUUCUAUGUAUAGCGUGCGGUCAGGGUCUCAGCAUAGCCGAACUGUUAGUGUCUCAGACUCUCCUCAUGCCACAAGCAGUAAUGCCAGUUCUGAAGUAAGUGUAAACCAAAAGGGUAUUUGUCUGGAUAGCAGUGAAAUAGAUGAUAAUGUGAGUGAGAGAGGUGGUCAAUCUCCUGCCAGUGUGAGGUGCAGGUAAACAGCUCUCACUUUGGAAUUAAAUAGCACAAACAUUCUUAUCCUGCUUUUUAGCAGAUUAUUUGCAUAUGGAGCUUACCAUGAUUCUAUUGAUGUAAAGUUCAUUGGAAGUGAUGUAACCUUGUUUAAUGGAAG